rnacentral:rRNA from 1 species
AGACCCGAAACCCGGUGAUCUAGCCAUGGGCAGGUUGAAGGUUGGGUAACACUAACUGGAGGACCGAACCGACUAAUGUUGAAAAAUUAGCGGAUGACCUGUGGCUGGGGGUGAAAGGCCAAUCAAACCGGGAGAUAGCUGGUUCUCCCCGAAAGCUAUUUAGGUAGCGCCUCGUGAAUUCAUCUCCGGGGGUAGAGCACUGUUUCGGCUAGGGGGCCAUCCCGGCUUACCAACCCGAUGCAAACUGCGAAUACCGGAGAAUGUUAUCACGGGAGACACACGGCGGGUGCUAACGUCCGUCGUGAAGAGGGAAACAACCCAGACCGCCAGCUAAGGUCCCAAAGUCAUGGUUAAGUGGGAAACGAUGUGGGAAGGCCCAGACAGCCAGGAUGUUGGCUUAGAAGCAGCCAUCAUUUAAAGAAAGCGUAAUAGCUCACUGGUCGAGUCGGCCUGCGCGGAAGAUGUAACGGGGCUAAACCAUGCACCGAAGCUGCGGCAGCGAACGUAUCACCCAAGACAACUUUACGGAGUUGACGAUUGACGGAGCGAAGCGACGUCAAAGCGUUCAUUAAAGUCGAGUUGGCUUAGGGAUACGUUCGUUGGGUAGGGGAGCGUUCUGUAAGCCUGCGAAGGUGGCCUGUGAGGGUUGCUGGAGGUAUCAGAAGUGCGAAUGCUGACAUAAGUAACGAUAAAGCGGGUGAAAAGCCCGCUCGCCGGAAGACCAAGGGUUCCUGUCCAACGUUAAUCGGGGCAGGGUGAGUCGAC